rnacentral:lncRNA from 1 species
AGACUAUAAGUAGGAACCCCUUAGUCUUUUUUUCUUAGUUAGCUUAUUUUAAAUUCACUUUUUAACAUAGAACACCAUAUUUCCUCUCAAGAACAGAGUAGACCACCAAACAUUUUAAGCUUCACAAGUGGAAGGUUCUACUUCUGCUGUGAGAUGGCUAGAAACGAGAGUGCUUGAGUGAACCGAGUUCCUUUUGUGUUCCCAUAAGAACUUGGUUCUUGUUAAUGUGAUUUGUAGCG